CCUAGUCUGAGUAAUUUCUAAGCGGACGGAAAAUAUCAUCGGGAAAAUGUUGAUUAAUGAUUACCAUAAAAUCAUUGCAGUCACGAAUGGUGAGGUAAUAGCAUUAGGGUUAGCGAAACUCACUCAGGUUAUGAUAACCCUCCAUUCAGCUCGGAGGAAUGCUUUGCGAGUGUCUGUCUCUGACGUAAGGUGGUUCUGCCCUGGAUGGAUUCUUUGUUUCCUUUACUUUGACUACAAGACAGUUUUCAAUAUGUGUACACAGAAACCGCCUCAUGAACAUACUCACCAGCUUUAUGACAACUACGUAUUGGCAUUCGAGGAGUACAUUAAUGCAAAAGUAUUGCCGUCAUUGAGAGAGGCACAUGACGAGUUUUUGUUGAGAGAACUUGUGCAGAGGUGGAUGAAUCAUAAAAUUAUGGUCAAAUGGCUUUCAAAAUUCUUCUGUUAUCUGGAUCGGUACUUCCUUGCCGCGAGAUGUCUUCACACCAGUUAAACAUGCUGGACUUCAUUGCUUCCGGAAACUGUUGGACGAAGAGAUCAAUGGCAGAGUAAAAGAUGCUGUCAUCUCGCUGAUUAAUCGAGAGCGUGAAGGAGAGCAAAUUGAUAGAACUUUGGUUAAGAAUGUUCUGCAUAUUUUUGUCGAGAUUGGAAUAGAGAAUAUGGAAUGUUACUUAAAUGAGUUCGGAUUCCUUGUCGGUAAGUUCCGACCCGCAUGAAGAAUGCUUACAGAGAAAGAAGGAUAGGGUUUUUUACAUUUAGCAUGGGGGCACGCGGACAAGCAAUAGAUUUGGAGCAAGUUAAACAGGUAGAACGUAAUCCAGCGAAAAAAAGUGCGGAUAUUAGAGAGAGAUGAAAGGACAGUUUUCAGUCUACUGAAAGCAAUAAUUGCAGCACUAUUUGGCGAUGCUCAUAGCUCAUGAGAGGCGAAUUCAAAAGUUUUAAAGAAGGAAAACUUCCAAUGAAUUAGUCUGUAUUAUACUAUUAUCCAAAGGACAAGGAGAACACUCUGAAGGCACUGAACAUGGAAAUAGACAACGUGGAAAGGUUUGAAACUCCUUCUGACAAGUUGCCUGGCAUGAAACUGCUUCUGAGAUAUCGUCCUGAGACCUGAGUAAAAAUAGAUACUUCCCCAACAAUGUAGGACUGGGUCUCAUUGUAUUUGUGCAGGCACUGAACAUGGAAAUAGAUACCUCCCCACCCAAGCUCUAGAUGCAGAGCAAGCAGAGACGGAAGCAAUGUUUGAAGGCAGUCAAGUUAUAUAAAUAUUCAUCUCGAAAGGUACUGUUCUAUCGAAGAAAAUAUAAACCAAGCUGUUGACAAAUGCUAGGUAGAGUUGAACAAGUAGUGAAAGGAUGCAAGUAUAUGCACACCCCUUUUCUUGUUUGUGUCAAAGGAUUUCACAUACGUGCAUCCCAAUCUGUAUUAGGUUUAAAGAUCGUGUCUACAUGUAAGCUCAAAAUCCCAUUUUCCAAAAUUUUAAAAAUACACAACAUGUCAAAACCCAAGAAGCAUCUCGACGAAAUCUAUAUAUUUCUAUUACAGUUCAUCUUCCAGACACAAACAGAAAGAGCAAAGAGAAAACAACAUUUUUCAUACAAUUUAAACCAUGUCUGUUCUCAAUUUCAAAUCCAGCCAUCUUUUAGCACUGUCUCUUGUUUUUGUGUCUCUUGCAUUUUACGGUGCUGACGCUACUCCUUGCGGUUCAACACAUGAUCAGAAGCCUAGUCCACCGACGACUUACGGGUACGGAAGAAAGUUGAGAGAAUAUGUUGCUCCAAAACCUGAUAGCAAGUUACCAUAUGUUGCCUUGCCAAAACCAUCACCAAAACCAGAGCCUUACUCAAUUAAAUCACUUACCUACUCUGCCCAGGGUAUUCAAGGAUACAUUUACUGCAAGUCGGGAGCAAAAUUGACCCCCCUUGAAGGUUAAACUAAAAUGAUAGUACCCCUUUCUCAGAAACGGAGGUGCUGUUGCCAGGGUGACCUGUAUAGCUUCAGAUCCAUACGACAACAAAGCUCCAUUUUCAACUCUAAGUCCUGAAACCAAUGACCAAGGUUACUUCUUAGCUAAAUUGCCUCUAAAGGUAAAAGGAAGCUUAAAGUUGAUCAAGUGUAAGACAUUCCUCUACAGUUCACCAUCAGAAACUUGCAACAUUCCUAUCGUCAUCGCGAAGGGUGAUUAUCAAGUUCCUAGUGCAUGUAAAGUCGUUCCUGAAAAGAAGAUGAACUUGUGUUCUGUCGGUCCUUUCGCUUAUACCACCCCCACCAUGUAUAAACGCGCCGACCACAGCCGCCAUUACUAGAAAGUAAAUGGAAGAAGUGAUCGUCUUAUAUCUUUGAUUAAAAUGUUUGGGUGCUGUUGAUUGAUCAAUUAUUUUUGGUCUUUGA